GGCCAACAGGUGGCAUUCCAUAUAAAUAUCCCAAUAAUGACGCCGCAAUAGAGUAUUAAGAACAACUUUUGUGCACAGAUUUUGGCUGCUAUAUUUGUUAAUGUUAUUGUGUAGAAUGUAAGGCGGGUAAGUAGGAUUGAUAAACUGUACCGUCACCUCCUCAUCAACAAAAAAUCCCGUCGACAAUAAUUUCUAGAAUUGUAUUCGUACUGAUUCUCGAAACCAACAAAAUUGUAUGUUGGUCAAAAUCGACGCCUGCAUAGAAGCACAUUUCCCCCUAAAUAACCGUAUUUCGAUUCGCGAUUUUGGGUUCAUUCGGCGACCAAGUAAAAUAAUUUAUAAUAAUUUUUGAAUAUUUUAA